GAUGAACGCUGGCGGCGUGCCUAAUACAUGCAAGUCGAGCGAACGGACGAGAAGCUUGCUUCUCUGAUGUUAGCGGCGGACGGGUGAGUAACACGUGGAUAACCUACCUAUAAGACUGGGAUAACUUCGGGAAACCGGAGCUAAUACCGGAUAAUAUUUUGAACCGCAUGGUUCAAAAGUGAAAGACGGUCUUGCUGUCACUUAUAGAUGGAUCCGCGCUGCAUUAGCUAGUUGGUAAGGUAACGGCUUACCAAGGCAACGAUGCAUAGCCGACCUGAGAGGGUGAUCGGCCACCCUGGACCUGAGACACGGUCCAGACUCCUACGGGAGGCAGCAGUAGGGAAUCUUCCGCAAUGGGCGAAAGCCUGACGGAGCAAAGCCGCGUGAGUGAUGAAGGUCUUCGGAUCGUAAAACUCUGUUAUUAGGGAAGAACAUAUGUGUAAGUAACUGUGCACAUCUUGACGGUACCUAAUCAGAAAGCCACGGCUAACUACGUG
rnacentral:rRNA from 1 species